rnacentral:tRNA from 1 species
GCCCCGGUCACCCCGGCGCCGUUAACGGACUCCUAAAGCGGGUGUCGCAGGUUCGAAUCCUGCCGGGGGCACCA